rnacentral:rRNA from 1 species
CACCACUCCUUCUCACAAUCGCACAGACAGUUGGAAAAAGGGGGAUCCUACGUGCUUAGGCUCAGUAUGGGCUUUUGUAAAGGGUAAAUAACUUUACGAAUAAGGGAGGGGAAAGACUGGGGCCAGCAGCCGCGGUAACACCAGCGUCCCGAGUGGCAAUCUUUUUUAUUGGGCCUAAAGCGUUCGUAGCAGGUUUGACAAAUCUUUUGUGAAAUUGUGCGGCUUAACCGUACAACGUGCAAGAGACACUAUCAAACUCGAGAUCGGGAGGGGUCAGAAGUAUUCCAGGGGGAGCGGUAAAAUGUUAUAAUCCCUGGAGGACUACCUGUGGUGAAGGCGUCUAACUAGAACGAAUCUGACGGGGAGGGACGAAAGCCAGGGGAGCGAACCGGAUUAGAUACCCGAGUAGUCCUGGCCGUAAACCCUGUGAGCUAGGUGUUGCGCCAACCACAAGUUGGUGCAGUGUCGAAAUGAAGAUGUUAAGCUCACCCCCUGGAAAGUACGGUCCCAAGACUGAAACUUAAAGGAAUUGGCGGGGGAAAGGGCGAAUUCUUUUAACCUGCAGAACUAGUCCCUUUAGUGAGGGUUAAUUCUGAGCUUGGCGUAUUCAUGGCAUAGCUUUUCCUGAAA